UACGGAGGGUGCAAGCGUUAUCCGGAUUCACUGGGUUUAAAGGGUGCGUAGGUGGGUUGGUAAGUCAGUGGUGAAAUCUCUAGGCUUAACCUGGAAACUGCCAUUGAUACUAUCAGUCUUGAAUAUUGUGGAGGUCAGCGGAAUAUGUCAUGUAGCGGUGAAAUGCUUAGAUAUGACAUAGAACACCAAUUGCGAAGGCAGCUGGCUACGCAUAUAUUGACACUGAGGCACGAAAGCGUGGGGAUCAAACAGG
rnacentral:rRNA from 1 species